GACGAACGCUGGCGGCGUGCUUAACACAUGCAAGUCGAGCGAGGCCCUCCUUCGGGAGGUGUCCUAGCGGCGAACGGGUGAGUAACACGUGGGCAACCUGCCCCCGGCUCUGGGAUAACUCCAAGAAAUUGGGGCUAAUACCGGAUAUGACCGCUGACCGCAUGGUCUGGUGGUGGAAAGAUUUAUCGGCUGGGGAUGGGCCCGCGGCCUAUCAGCUUGUUGGUGGGGUAGUGGCCUACCAAGGCGACGACGGGUAGCCGGCCUGAGAGGGUGACCGGCCACACUGGGACUGAGACACGGCCCAGACUCCUACGGGAGGCAGCAGUGGGGAAUAUUGCGCAAUGGGCGGAAGCCUGACGCAGCGACGCCGCGUGGGGGAUGACGGCCUUCGGGUUGUAAACCUCUUUCAGCAGGGACGAAGCGCAAGUGACGGUACCUGCAGAAGAAGCACUGGCCAACUACGUGCCAGCCGCCGCAGUAACAC
rnacentral:rRNA from 1 species